GGGGAAAGGAGAGGCAGGAGCGGACCGGACGAGGCCAAGCGAAAGAAGAUGAGGUCAAGUGAGCACACGGAGGUGGUAGCUGCCUGCACAUCAAGAGAGAAGCCUCAGAAUGAAACCCACCUUGUUGGCACUUUGAUCUUGGACUUCCAAGCCUCCAAAACUAGAGAGAGAGAGAGACAGCGAGAGAGAGGGAACACAAGCAGGUGGAGUUGGAGAGGG